rnacentral:rRNA from 1 species
UACGUAGGGUCCGAGCGUUGUCCGGAAUUAUUGGGCGUAAAGAGCUCGUAGGUGGUUUGUCGCGUUGUCCGUGAAAACUCACAGCUCAACUGUGGGCGUGCGGGCGAUACGGGCAGACUAGAGUACUGCAGGGGAGACUGGAAUUCCUGGUGUAGCGGUGGAAUGCGCAGAUAUCAGGAGGAACACCGGUGGCGAAGGCGGGUCUCUGGGCAGUAACUGACGCUGAGGAGCGAAAGCGUGGGGAGCGAACAGG